AUGACAUCAACACUACAUCAUCAACACCAAGACCAUCAUUAACACCGUGGCAUCAUCAACACUGCAUCAUUAACACCAUGACAUCACCAACGUGACAUCAUCACCAUGACAUCAUCAGCACCAUGAUAUCAACACUGCAUUAACAUCAUGACGUCAUCAACACCAUGACACCAUCAAUGCCACGACAUCAACACCAUGACAUCAUUAACACCACAUCAUUAACUCCACGACAUCAACACAACAUCAGCACAAUGACAUCACCACGACAUCAUCAACACCACAUCACCAUGACAUGAUCAACGCAUGACAUCAUCAGCACUGCAUCAUUAACACCAUGACAUCAUCAGCACUAUGACAUCAUCAACACAAUGACAUCACCAUGACACCAUCAACAUCACAUGAUUAACACCGCAUCAUUAACACCAUGACAUCAGCACGACAUCAUUAACACCACGACAUCAACACCACACCAACACCAUGACUUCAUCAACUCCGCAUCAUUAAUACCAGGAAAUCAUCCACACCACGACCUCAGCAACCCCAUGACACCAUCAUCAGCACUAUGACAUCGUCAAAACCACGAUAUUAUCAACACCAUGAUAUCAACACAUCAACAUCAACACCACAUCAGCACCAUGACAUCAUGAACACAACAUCAUCAACCCCAUGACAUCAUCAACACUACAUCAUUAACACCAUGAGACCAGCACCGUGACAUCAUCAACACCAUGACAACAUCAAAACCAUGACAUCAACAUGGCAUCAUUAAUACCAUGACAUCAUCAACACAAGGACAUCAUCAACACUGCAUCAUUAACACCAUGAGAUCAGCACCGUGACAUCAACACCA
rnacentral:lncRNA from 1 species